GCCUACGGGGGGCAGCAGUGGGGGAUAUUGCACAAUGGGGGAAACCCUGAUGCAGCGACGCCGCGUGGGUGAAGAAGCGCCUCGGCGCGUAAAGCCCUGUCAGCAGGGAAGAAAAUGACGGUACCUGAAGAAGAAGCCCCGGCUAACUACGUGCCAGCAGCCGCGGUAAUACGUAGGGGGCAAGCGUUAUCCGGAUUUACUGGGUGUAAAGGGCGUGUAGCCGGGAAGGCAAGUCAGAUGUGAAAUCCGGAGGCUCAACCUCCGAAUUGCAUUUGAAACUGUUUUUCUUGAGUACUGGAGAGGCA
rnacentral:rRNA from 1 species